GCCGAGUAUCCAAUUUUUGAUAAGGUUGAUGUUAAUGGUGACAACACUGCACCCAUCUACAAGUUUCUGAAGUCCAGCAAAGGUGGUCUUUUCGGUGACAAUAUCAAAUGGAACUUCUCCAAGUUCUUGGUCGACAAAGAGGGGCGUGUUGUGGAGCGCUAUGCGCCAACUACUUCUCCACUCAGCAUGGAGAAGGACAUCAAGA
rnacentral:misc_RNA from 1 species